UUGUCCACUGGAGUUCUCUUCAAAUCACUUCAGUAGCUAGCUUAACUAUGUCUCAGUGCAUUGACACUUCUGUAAGUGUGCGCAGUGAGCUUGACAGCUGUGCAUAGUGAAGUGUUUGGGGGAACUCUGGGUGGCAA
rfam:Triticum aestivum genome assembly, contig: Triticum_aestivum_CS42_TGACv1_scaffold_132769_2BL